rnacentral:rRNA from 1 species
GCAUGCGUCUUACUGGUGGUGAGUUGAUCAGCUUCUCCUUCAGAGCAGCAAGACCCAAGCUGGCUGUCAUUUAUCUCAACCUGGUGGAAGAUGAUGAAGAUGACGAAGAUGAUGAAGAUAAUGAGGACCCACUCGAUGAAGAUGAUGAGGACCCACUUCAUGAAGCCAUCGUAGCUCAAAGAACAAGGCUGAGCGAGGAGGAGGUGUCCAACCUGUGGGACAUAAUUCCAC